GGCUAACUAGAAGAAUGAACUCUAACACUUGAGUUAAGAGAAAUUCUAAUCUAGAAAAGAAAAUCUAAGGGUUUUGGGAUCAUCAAAACCAAGGGUAGGAUAUUUCAUUAAUUUCCCAACAAUAAGCUAAAACAUAUUUAAUGAUUCACCUAUAAACACUAAAUCCAUCAAAUAUAUACCAUAAUAUAUCCUCUAAAAUAAGUAAUAUUAUUCUCGAACAAAUAAAUCACAU
rnacentral:lncRNA from 1 species